AACGGCCGUACCAUGCUGAAUAUACCGGUUCUCGUUAGAUCACCGAAGUUAAGCAUCAUUGGGCGCGGUCAGUACUUGGGUGGGUGACCGCCUGGGAACACCGCGUGCCGUU
rnacentral:rRNA from 1 species